UACGUAGGGGGCGAGCGUUGUCCGGAAUUAUUGGGCGUAAAGAGCGUGUAGGCGGUUCGGUAAGUCUGCCGUGAAAACCUGAGGCUCAACCUCGGGCGUGCGGUGGAUACUGCCGGGCUAGAGGACGGUAGAGGCGAGUGAAUUCCCGGUGUAGCGGUGAAAUGCGCAGAUAUCAGGAGGAACACCAAUUGCGAAGGCAGCUCGCUGGGACGUUACUGACGCUGAGACGCGAAAGCGUGGGGAGCAAACAGG
rnacentral:rRNA from 1 species